UGGAUGUAGGCUACUACCAGGUUCGUUCGUUUGUACCUGCAACAUGGCAGUCACAGCAGGGUCAGAUAUAACUUCUAUAAAGCCAAUUCUAUUGGAACAUACCUUGUUCUGACAUGCACCAAAUUAACUCAACACCAAUCUCUUAACAGAACAUUGCAUUAGAAUCACAUUUCAUUACACAGGCAUUUUGAAUCGCAUUUGGCAGCUUGUUUUUAGCAAUAGGAAGAAACCCAUUAAAUGACCUGUCAUUUCAGCUUUCUUAGGCAAAUUCAUGGAGAGAAAGACCAAAUUACCAAGAACUCGUGGAGAUAAAAGCCAAACAUGUAUUCCAUAACAUACCGACACAGUGCAUCCUGCACUCUUUCGUUUCAUGUCGGCAAUAGAAGUAGCAUCCAACAGGGGCAUUCACCUGCAGAAUUUGAAGAAAAACAUGUAGCACACCAAUGACCAAAAUAAAAUGACAAGCAUGUGAUCUCAAAUAGCAAUACAUCGGUAAGAGUUCUGCAGAAAGACUAAGGUAAAUUAACAGUUCACUCAUUUCAAUAAUAAAUCCACCAAUUUCCAUUCUUAACAAACUCCAACUAACUCACUAACUGAUUUAAAAUUAUUGAAACUAACUCUAACUGUUCUGAAAUCAACAUGUAACUGAAAAAAUCAUUUCGAGCUAACUGAUUAACUGACUCCAUUAACCUAUAGCUAACAACUCUAACAAACAGUUAAACCUUUUUAACAGAAAAUUGGAGGGAGGUACAAGUUCUUACACACUAUAAAAGCUAACCUCAUGGUGAUUCUUCAGGGUUCUUCCAACCCUUUCUUCAUCCUCUUCAUUUCUUCAUUUCUUCAUUUCUCACUCUCCCAAUUGCUUUCACCUUUUUCAAAGUUCUGCAACCUGUAGCCGCAAAUCAAUUCAAACCUGCAAAUUCGACUCUGCAAAUUCUGCAACAGAGUCACAUUAGGUCGGCUCAUCCCUUACCUGCAGAAUCCUCAAAACUCAACCUUCAGUUCAACGGGAUUCUUUCACUAUCCUCGUGCAGAAUCCAUCUUCAAUCAACAAUACGCUUUCGCCUUCGAUUCCCUUCCUCACAUUUUCGUUUUCUUCUCAAAUCCCUUUCUAUGAACGGAAUUUAAGACAAAGC
rnacentral:lncRNA from 1 species